GGUUAAGCGACUAAGCGUACACGGUGGAUGCCCUGGCAGUCAGAGGCGAUGAAGGACGUGCUAAUCUGCGAUAAGCGUCGGUAAGGUGAUAUGAACCGUUAUAACCGGCGAUUUCCGAAUGGGGAAACCCAGUGUGUCUCG
rnacentral:rRNA from 1 species